UGCAUUCACUACUGUAAGUCGCUCUGGAUAAGAGCUUCUGCUGAAUGACUAAAA
rfam:Salmo salar isolate Sally breed double haploid chromosome ssa11, whole genome shotgun sequence.